rnacentral:rRNA from 1 species
GACGAACGCUGGCGGCGUGCUUAACACAUGCAAGUCGAGCGGUAAGGCCCUUUCGGGGUACGACGAGCGGCGAACGGGUGAGUAACACGUGGGUGACCUGCCCUCAGCUCUGGGAUAAGCCUGGGAAACCGGGUCUAAUACUGGAUAUGACUCCAUGACGCAUGUUGUGGGGUGGAAAGCCUUGUGCGGCUGAGGAUGGGCCCGCGGCCUAUCAGCUUGUUGGUGGGGUGANGGCCUACCAAGGCGACGACGGGUAGCCGGCCUGAGAGGGCGACCGGCCACACUGGGACUGAGACACGGCCCAGACUCCUACGGGAGGCAGCAGUGGGGAAUCUUGCGCAAUGGGCGAAAGCCUGACGCAGCGACGCCGCGUGAGGGAUGACGGCCUCGGUUGUAA